GAUGAACGCUGGCGGCGUGCCUAAUACAUGCAAGUCGAGCGAACAGACGAGGAGCUUUCUCCUCUGACGUUAGCGGCGGACGGGUGAGUAACACGUGGAUAACCUACCUAUAAGACUGGGAUAACUUCGGGAAACCGGAGCUAAUACCGGAUAAUAUAUUGAACCGCAUGGUUCAAUAGUGAAAGACGGUUUUGCUGUCACUUAUAGAUGGAUCCGCGUCGCAUUAGCUAGUUGGUAAGGUAACGGCUUACCAAGGCAACGAUGCGUAGCCGACCUGAGAGGGUGAUCAGCCACACUGGAACUGAGACACGGUCCAGACUCUUACGGGAGGCAGCAGUAGGGAAUCUUCCACAAUGGGCGAAAGCCUGACGGAGCAACGCCGCGUGAGUGAUGAAGGUCUUCGGAUCGUAAACCUCUGUUAUUAGGGAAGAACAAAUGUGUAAGAAACUAUGCCCGUCUUGACGGUACCUAAACAGAAAGCAACGGCUAACUACGUG
rnacentral:rRNA from 1 species